UACGUAGGGGGCAAGCGUUGUUCGGAAUCACUGGGCGUAAAGCGCACGUAGGCGGAUUUGCCAGUCAGGGGUGAAAUCCCGGGCUCAACCUCGGAACUGCCUUUGAUACAGCAAGUCUUGAGUUCGAGAGAGGUGGGUGGAAUUCCUAGUGUAGAGGUGAAAUUCGUAGAUAUUAGGAAGAACACCGGCGGCGAAGGCGGCCCACUGGCUCGACACUGACGCUGAGGUGCGAAAGCGUGGGAGCAACAGGG
rnacentral:rRNA from 1 species